GUGAAUUGUAAAAUUUGUCGGAAAAACUAUCAUAGAUUUCACAUCUUUUUCUUUUAUAUACUCGUAUUAUUACAAUAAAUGUGAAAAAUAGUCACGUUCACAAUAUAUAGGAUAGCAGCGGUGGCAUAGAAAAAAGAUCUAGGUGUGGUCGCCGCAGCCUAACGAUUGAUUAUAUUAAUUAUUCAUUAUUAUUAACCAAUUUUUUUUUUUGUUCACAGUCGAUAUAAAUAUACGAAUUCCGGAGUAUUCAUGAGCGUGGAGAGUCCCGCCCCCAUCAGCACGCGUACUUAUUCUUGCGUGGAUUAACCAAUGGUGACCGCUAUGUGAACGUACAUCAAGACUAUGGGGAUUUAUGAAUACUGUUAUCGAUCGACAUUCACCUGUAGAGCUUUAAUAUUACCAUAAAGAAAUUGAACGCGUUGGUCGGUAAAAAUCGCGGUAGGUAAAGUAAGUACAUUUCCGUUAGUCCGGUGGACUACAGAGAAAGUUCCGAUGCGGUACCGGAGCAGGCAAUCACCGAUGUCCCAGUUCAAAUGUCAAAUAACAACAAUGGCGAUUUAUUGACGACAGAAACCGUGUGAUUGUGGCUCGCAGUAAUGAAAUCAUCAGUGCAAACGCAGUAGUUAUCGGCGGCGACCGGAUGCAGACAUGACGGACGCCUUUGUAUAUAUAGGGAACAUGCUUGAUCGGAAGACAGCGUGCUAUCACUGCAGCUAUCGUUGUUUAUGUAUACACGCGUAAUUCACUCACUUGAUUUGUUUAUUACAAUAUAACACCUCCACUGGGUUAUGUAUGUGUGUACAAAAAUGGAGGUUCAAUCCAAGUUCAAACGAAAAAAAUUAUCUUGUUUUUGUUCCAAUAAUACUGUGUGCGGAUUGAAUCAUUUUAUGCAAUCUAUCAUAAUAUACUAAUUACUAAUAUAAUAUUUUAGAUUACAUUAAAUGAUAUUAUUGUAUAAGGUAUAAAUUAAACGAAUAUUAUAUAAAUUUUUAUGCAUCGACAUGAUGCAUAUACAAUUUCCGAAACAAUUCAAAAUUCGUCAUAAUGUCAUAUUAUUGAACAUUUCCAUACUCAUUCCUGGUGUUAUUAUUAUAAUUUAAUAAAACUUAUUA